UGCCGAAGUUAAGCCGGUCCACCAUAAGGUAUAUUUAUACCGACCAUAAACUUCCAAACUCUUACGGUGGGGGGAGGAAAGGUCAGGUUUUUAACGUUAAUCUAGCUUAGUUGCAUAUUAAACCGGAGGCUUGGCCGUCGUUUGCCAGGGAGUUCAAAUUGGAUUGAUUCCUCUCGGCCCGGUUCAUUUCACGUUUGACAUAGGAGUGAAUCAAAGUGUGGACAGCAUCAAAUGCGAGCAAUAGGUAGAAUAAAUGAAGAUUAGGUCAUCCAAUAUACAUAGUUAGUGUAGGACAAUCGGGUAGUAUGAUGAAGGUAACUGUUAUUAUGAGAUACGGUUAACACAGAAUUGAUAUUGAACAUGCAAAUUUUAACGUUGUUAUUUCCCUUUUACAUCUUUUUGGUUAUAGCAACUUGGUUGCACUACGGCGUGGUUAGCUUUGGUUGUCAUUCAAUGCGCAUGGCUGAAGCAAUGCGCAAGGAGGGAUGUAGUGUGAAAUUAAACCAAAGUAGAUACUGUAAAACAAUUAAAAUUAGAAUUCAUGGAAAUAUGUUUUUGAACAACUAACUGCUGUACAUGAGUUUGUAUUUCUGCAAUAGAAACAAAAGUUCCAGAACCAGAUGCAGACACACCCGGAGCCUACAAACUACCACUGCCGAGCAAGGACUAACAGUCACAUGAGGAGAUCAAAUAACAGCAGGAUUUGAAUCGCUCCGGAUGGGUUGGUGGCCAGGGCGCUGGCCACCUGUUACUGACACGACGACGACGGAGAACCUGUUUGGAGGCUCCCAUGAUGUAGGAGUAACCUCUCUGAGUUGAGCCCUUGACAAGGAGGGACGAGUCUUGGGUUCAUGAAUUACAGGCCCGACGGCGACAGAAGAAACAAUGGCUACGAUAAUAACAACGCCCAAAACCACCCACGUGCGAACCAAUCCACGAAGAUCACCUGAACCACCCGAAUCCAUGCUAGGCUAUCAAUAAUCUUGCAUUUUUUUAAAUUGUAUUAUGACUACCAAUUUUUACUUUACUUUUGCACAUGAUGAAAAUUGUAUGACCUUGUAGCACAUGACCAAAAGUAUUAGCUCAGCAUUUCUAUGAGUAGUUUUGUUUGUGUGCUGUUUGGCCAUGUGAUUGUAUGAUAACAAGAUUUAUGUUCAUUGUUGUAUUGUUAAAUAAUGACCUGUAUUCCCAAUGAGACCCACAAGGUGAAUGACGUCUCAGUAUUAUGAGCGCAUUGUGGUUUUUUCCUCUAUUCAAGAGUUUUCCACACGGUUGAUGGUGUUGAUGAUUGAUCCUAAUUUGACUAUGUUUUCGGUGUGGUAAAUGGUGUUUAUGAUUUAAAAUAUUAUUGUAUGGUCAUCUAAGAUUACCAAGGAGGGAUUGUUACGUAUUUUAAGAAUCUAAGCUACCCACACAUAGACCCAAUGAUGCAGGACCAAACAUAUUAGCCGUAAAUACCAUACAUAGCCACAAGGGGAGCAAGACCUUAUUGGAGGCUGCUCCAGCCACAGAUAGCAGCGCUUUUAUAUAUACGAAGAAGCCGAAGCCAGUACGGCACCCCGGCCACGCCCACUAGGCCACGCCCACUUAACGGUCUCUUACCUGUGCACCCAGUGUGAAGAGACCAGAGAUUUUCAGCGACACCCGCGAAGGGUCACGGGCCUUUGCCCGUGGCCCAUAGUAGCCAGAGUUAUUAUCUCUCACACGUGUUCCACUCUUUAGCUACAAUUCCCUCCGUAUAGAUUCAUUUACCAUGCCGAAACAUGCCGACGACUUUAUAAUAAAUGAAGUGAGUUCAA